AAACAUAUUUAUAGGAGGCAAAAUAAUGCAUUUCUGCCACAGCUGAGAGGUAAGGAAUCUAACCCAACCUGUCAUUCUCUACCUACUGCUACUGUGCAGAGCACAACAGACUGUUGUCAAUCAAGAGCAGCUGCAUUAGUAAUGCCUUGGAGCACCAACUUAAUCCAAGAUUCCUGGAGAUCCUCUGUCUGGCAAAGCUCCAACAUCAAGGUAUCAAGAAAUGGGGUCUGUCACCAGAAGAGCUCUACCCCCCACCCAUUGAAUUAAACCUAGGGACAGAGAUGAAGUACUCUCAUCCCCAAGAUGACCCCAACUAGGGUCAACAGAAGUUAAUUAAGCAAGAUAAGUGGGGACAACGUUUUUUUAAGGAUGUAAUGACAGUCUGGUGACUUUGGAUGACCUGACCAAAAAUACAUGUUUAUUAUGUUCGUCUUGGACUUAAUAAAAUUGUGCUUUCUGUCAUCUUA